rnacentral:rRNA from 1 species
CAGCCGCCACGGUAAUACAGAGGGUGCAAGCGUUAAUCGGAAUUACUGGGCGUAAAGCGCGCGUAGGUGGUUUGUUAAGUUGGAUGUGAAAUCCCCGGGCUCAACCUGGGAACUGCAUCCAAAACUGGCAAGCUAGAGUAUGGUAGAGGGUGGUGGAAUUUCCUGUGUAGCGGUGAAAUGCGUAGAUAUAGGAAGGAACACCAGUGGCGAAGGCGACCACCUGGACUGAUACUGACACUGAGGUGCGAAAGCGUGGGGAGCAAACAGGAUUAGAGACCCCUGUAGUCCCUGUCUCUUAUAA